rnacentral:rRNA from 1 species
UGAGGAAUAUUGGUCAAUGGGCGAGAGCCUGAACCAGCCAUUCCGCGUGAAGGAAGAAGGCCUUAUGGGUUGUAAACUUCUUUUCUGUAAGAAGAACGGCCCCGACGUGUCGGGGUGUGACGGUAUUAUAGGAAUAAGCAUCGGCUAACUCCGUGCCAGCAGCCGCGGUAAUACGGAGGAUGCAAGCGUUAUCCGGAUUUAUUGGGUUUAAAGGGUGCGCAGGUGGUUUUAUAAGUCAGUGGUGAAAGUCUGACGCUUAACGUUAGGAUUGCCAUUGAUACUGUAGGACUUGAGUAUGGAUGAGGUAGGCGGAAUGUGUAGUGUAGCGGUGAAAUGCAUAGAUAUUACACAGAACGCCGAUUGCGAAGGCAGCUUACUAAUCCAUGACUGACGCUGAGGCACGAAGGCGUGGGGAUCAAACA